AUCAACUUUCGAUGGUAGGAUAGAGACCUACCAUGGUGGUGACGGGUGACGGAGAAUUAGGGUUCGAUUCCGGAGAGGGAGCCUGAGAAACGGCUACCACAUCCAAGGAAGGCAGCAGGCGCGCAAAUUACCCAAUCCCGACACGGGGAGGUAGUGACAAUAAAUAACAAUACGGGGUUCUUUCGGAUCUCGUAAUUGGAAUGAGUACAAUUUAAAUCUCUUAACGAGGAACAAUUGGAGGGCAAGUCUGGUGCCAGCAGCCGCGGUAAUUCCAGCUCCAAUAGCGUAUAUUAAAGUUGUUGCAGUUAAAAAGCUCGUAGUUGAAUUUCGGGGUCAAUAAGUUGGUCGUGCCAAUGGUAUGCACUGGCUUUAUUGAUUCCUACCUCUUGACGAACUGUGAUGCCAUUAAUUUGGUGUCGCAAGGAAUCAGGACUGUUACCUUGAAAAAAUUAGAGUGUUUAAAGCAGGCUCACGCUUGAAUACAUUAGCAUGGAAUAAUGAAAUAGGACAUCCGAUUCUAUUUUGUUGGUUUCUAGGAUCGAUGUAAUGAUUAAUAGGGAUAGUUGGGGGCAUUAGUAUUCAAUUGUCAGAGGUGAAAUUCUUGGAUUUAUUGAAGACUAACUACUGCGAAAGCAUUUGCCAAGGAUGUUUUCAUUAAUCAAGAACGAAAGUUAGGGGAUCGAAGACGAUCAGAUGCCGUCGUAGUCUUAACCAUAAACUAUGCCGACUAGGGAUCGGAUGAUGUUAAUUUUUUAAUGACUCAUUCGGCGCCUUACGGGAAACCAAAGUGUUUGGGUUC
rnacentral:rRNA from 1 species